rfam:Ixodes scapularis strain Wikel colony gcontig_1108378315792, whole genome shotgun sequence.
GCAGUCGUGGCCGAGUGGUUAAGGCGAUGGACUGGAAACCCAUUGGGGUCACCCCGCACAGGUGCGAGUCCUGUCAACUGCG